rnacentral:pre_miRNA from 1 species
GGGGGGAGGCCAGAUCCUGGGCUGUGUCCCCGGUGCCCAGUGCUCCUGGGCCUUCGCUGUUGGAUUCGUGCUCCCGGCCCGCAGCCCCCU